rnacentral:rRNA from 1 species
GAUGAACGCUGGCGGCGUGCCUAAUACAUGCAAGUCGAGCGAACAGACGAGGAGCUUGCUCCUCUGACGUUAGCGGCGGACGGGUGAGUAACACGUGGAUAACCUACCUAUAAGACUGGGAUAACUUCGGGAAACCGGAGCUAAUACCGGAUAAUAUAUUGAACCGCAUGGUUCAAUAGUGAAAGACGGUUUUGCUGUCACUUAUAGAUGGAUCCGCGCCGCAUUAGCUAGUUGGUAAGGUAACGGCUUACCAAGGCAACGAUGCGUAGCCGACCUGAGAGGGGGGGCGGCCAAACUGGAAAAGAGACACGGGCCAGACUCCUCCGGGAGGGCACAGGAGGGGAACUUCCCCAAAGGGGGGAAGCCCGACGGAGCAAAGCCGCGGGAGGGAAGAAGGGUUUCGGGAUGGAAAAACCUGUUAUUAGGGAAAAAAAAAAGUGUAAGGAAAUUUGGACCUCUUGACGGUACCUAAUAAAAAAGCCCCCGCUAAAUACGUG